rnacentral:rRNA from 1 species
CGGUGUUUAACUGGCGUGAUGUGGGACGUCCUACCGGUGGGCUUAGCCUCGCGAGGGGCGGCCCAACUAAUAUCCCGUCGCGGUGCUCUUUACUGAGUGUCGAGUCGGGCCGGUACGUUUACUUUGAACAAAUUAGAGUGCUUAAAGCAGGCUAUCCUCGCCUGAAUACUGCGUGCAUGGAAUAAUGGAAUAGGACCUCGGUUCUAUUUUGUUGGUUUUUGGAACCCCGAGGUAAUGAUUAAUAGGGACAGAUGGGGGCAUUCGUAUUGCGACGUUAGAGGUGAAAUUCUUGGAUCGUCGCAAGACGGGACAGAAGGAAAAGCCAUUUGCCAAAAAAUGUUUUUCUUUAAUCAAGAACGAAAGUUAAAGGUUCGAAGGCGAUCAGAUACCCCCCUAGUUUCUAACCAUAAACGAUGCCAGCUAGCGAUCCGCCGAAGUUCUUCCGAUGACUCGGCGGGCAGCUUCCGGGAAACCAAAGCUUUUGGGUUCCGGGGGAAGUAUGGUUGCAAAGCUGAAACUUAAAGGAAUUGACGGAAGGGCACCACCAGGAGUGGAGCGUGCGGCUUAAUUUGACUCAACACGGGAAACCUCACCAGGCCCAGACACCGGAAGGAUUGACAGAUUGAUAGCUCUUUCUUGAUUCGGUGGGUGGUGGUGCAUGGCCGUUCUUAGUUGGUGGAGCGAUUUGUCUGGUUAAUUCCGAUAACGAACGAGACUCUAGCCUGCUAAAUAGGCGUACCUUAUGGUAUCGCGAAGGCCCCCGGCUUCGGCCGGUGGGUUUUUACUACCAACGUACAAACAAAUCUUCUUAGAGGGACAGGCGG